CACAUACUCGCGGCGAUUAUUGAAGUUGAGCUGAAGAGUUCCUCCCCCUGGAAUGACAGGAACCAAACUGCCAUCAGCACUCUGUCCCUCAAAGCAGUCCAGCGGAAUGAACUAAAAAGGGAAGAGAAAGAAAUAAAAGUAUACAAGUCGUUAUCAAGAUCUGUGGCCGCCAUCCAAUAAAAACUUUCAGAAAAAACAUGGUUGGAUUUCACAUCAAACCCUGCUGUAUACCUCUUCAAUGUCGUCCAAUCUCAGGGAAAUUCCGACCAGGAGUUUCCACACACUGGGUGCCAGGUGGAGAUCCAGGGGUUUCUUUGUUCUUA